rnacentral:lncRNA from 1 species
GGCCAUCAGAAAAUCUCCACCAUCCACCUAGGAGAAAUUUUUUUUUCAGUCUUAUAUCACUUACUUUCAUGUUGGGAGUAUGUUGGCUCCCAUUCUGUUAGCUAGUCAGCCAGGCAAAAGGGCAGCAUUUAAAUCUGGGACUGGAUUUUUCUUCCCAUUUCUUGCAGACAGCUAAGCUGGCCUCUCUGUCAGCUCUCCAGUUGCCCUGAGAAACUACAGUGUUUCCCUUUCAAUGACCUUGUCAAUAUAUGAUCACAACCUUCCUGGGAGCCCACAGUGCAUCCAAAAGUUUAAGAAUUUCUUGCCCAUACAUCAUGUCCCUUUUUUCCCUCUCCUGAGUUAAUUAGCCUACAUAAGGCCCUAUGAAUAUGAUAGGUAGAGAACGCAUAUUUUGAGUCUAUGUAAAUAUCCACAUAGACCCCUGCUGUCAACUGAGGUGCUUGAAUCAAAGCAAUAAGUUUUACUUUUUUGUGCUGAAGUUCCCUGAGGCAGAGGUUCUGACUUGACAGUGGAGUCCAGAGUGACCAUUGCAUAUACAGCAAAACAUACCUCUUCUUUUAUAAAACUGCUUCCAUCUGUGAAGUACUCUGCAUUAGCCUCCUUGAGAGGCUGGUCUGUUAGGUCUGGUCUGCUGGAGAACACUUCAUCCAUGACCUCAACACAUUUGUGAUCAGGUUUUCCAGGUCCAAAUGGGCAUCGAAGUUGCUGGGUUUAGAGUUCUGAUGACCUCAAUGCAGAUACGUGGAUUUUCACAUAACAUGCCCUGAUAUUUGACCAUUCUUUCAUUAGUCAAUCAAUAGUGUCCUUUGUAUUCUAACAAUGUCAAAAUUGAAUGAGGAACUCUGACAACCAGUUCUUGUCCCAUGGCCAGUUUAUCAGCUUCCAACACCAGUAGAGCUGUGGCUGCAAGGGCCCGUAAAAAAGGUGGCCAGCCCUAUGCUACAGAGUCCAGCUCUUUGGACAAAUUGGUCACUGGACAGUGCCAUGUCCCCAGCAUCUGAGUAAAAACUCCUACAGCCACUCCAGACAGAUCAUGGACAUACAGAAAGAAAGGAUUUGUGAGGUCAAGGAGACCUAAUCCAGGUGCACUGAUGAGUGCUUGUUUAAUGUCCUCAAAGGCCUGUUGCUUAAUUGGCCCCCACAUCAGAGGAUCUCG